CAUUUCCAAAAUCACAUUGUAGUGACGUGUACUGAACACAAUAUAUUACAUAAUGUAAACAACUACCUGAGAAACAGCAGAUACAGCAGAUAAAUUAAUUAUAGGCCAUUACUUUUGUAUCGUUUAUUGCAUUUAUGGAGGGAGAGGUGUAUGCUGGGUAAUGGCACAGCUAUAGCGACCGGGUGACUUUAUUCACCCGCUUCGGCUGUUAUCAGUCCAUACAAUGGGCGUUAUUAGCAGAAAUCAGUCCCAUAGAUGUGGGCCAUCCACCUGCUAGAUUGUUCAGAAGGUUGGUAUCAUCCAUCCAGAUGGAGGAUCACUGACAGGAGCGUGGAAGACUCCAGAAUCCACUCUGGCUGGAAUCCGGUGGAUACAGCAGUGUUACAGUUCCUCAGGUACAGUACAUGAUAUUAAGGGCAGGCGGUCAUCACUGGGGGAAGACAAGAAGCAGACGUACUUCCAAGAGGGAGCUGCAGUGAGGACACAGCCUGGUCACUGAGGUCAGAGGAGGCGCUGAAAGGUUUCCCUAAUAGUUCCUGGUGAAUCAAAGCAGAACCAUAAAGGUUGCUGGACUGCAUGAUGGCCUUACCCCUGAGCAGUCAUCCUGUUAAAGGAGGAACCAGUUAGAAGCUGUUUUCAAAGUAGCUGAGCAGAUUUCAUCUCAAGACCAACGUGGAUCGAGAAGUCAGCGCUCUCAGGAGGCCGACAAUUUUGUUGAAGAAAGAAGUGGAAGAAAAAAAUACAACAGUGACGAGUUUGGGAAAGAUUUUACUGUGAAAGCUUCCCUAAAAAUGCAUCAGGUCAUCGACACCGGAGAGAGACCAUUCAGCUGUGGAGACUGUGGAAAGUCUUUUAACGAGUCUGGAAGCUUAAAAAGACACCAACUAAUCCACACUGGAGUGAGACCGUUCAGCUGUGGAGACUGUGGAAACUCUUUUACCAGGUCUGGACACUUAAAAACACACCAACUAAUCCACACUGGAGAGAGACCGUUCAGCUGUGAUGAGUGUGGAAAGUCUUUUACCCAGUCUGGAAGCUUAAAAACACACCAACUCAUCCACAGUGGAAAGAGACCAUUCAGCUGUGAUGAGUGUGGAAAGUCUUUUAUCCACUCUGGAAGCUUAAAAACACACCAACUCAUCCACAGUGGAGAGAGACCGUUCAGCUGUGAUGAGUGUGGAAAGUCUUUUAUCCACUCUGGAAGCUUAAAAACACACCAACUCAUCCACAGUGGAGAGAGACCAUUCAGCUGUGGAGACUGUGGAAAGUCUUUUACCAGGUCUGGAAGCUUAAAAACACACCAACUCAUCCACAGUGGAGAGAGACCAUUCAGCUGUGGAGACUGUGGAAAGUCUUUUACGCAGUCUGGAAGCUUAAAAACACACCAACUGAUCCACAGUGGAGUGAGACCGUUCAGCUGUGACGAGUGUGGAAAGUGUUUUACGCAGUCUGGACACUUAAAAAUACACAAACUCAUCCACACUGGAGAGAGACCGUUCAGCUGUGGAGACUGUGGAGAGUCUUUUAACGAGUCUGGAAGCUUAAAAAGACACCAACUAAUCCACAGUGGAAAGAGACCGUUCAGCUGUGAUGAGUGUGGAAAGUCUUUUACCCAGUCUGGAAGCUUAAAAACACACCAACUCAUCCACAGUGGAAAGAGACCGUUCAGCUGUGAUGAGUGUGGAAAGUCUUUUACCCAGUCUGGAACAUUAAAAACACACAAACUCAUCCACACUGGAGAGAGACCAUUCAGCUGUGAUGAGUGUGGAAAGUCUUUUAUCCACUCUGGAAGCUUAAAAACACACCAACUCAUCCACAGUGGAGAGAGACCGUUCAGCUGUGAUGAGUGUGGAAAGUCUUUUAUCCACUCUGGAAGCUUAAAAACACACCAACUCAUCCACACUGGAGAGAGACCGUUCAGCUGUGACGAGUGUGGAAAGUCUUUUACGCACAUUUCAAACUUAAAAUCACACCAACUCAUCCACAGUGGAGUUAAAGCGUACACCUGUGAUCAGUGUGGCAGAGCUUUUACUCACAGUAAGAGCUUACAGAGUCAUCUAGUUACCCACUCUGGAAUUAAGGCGUACAGCUGUGACGUCUGUGGAAAAACUUUCAGCCGGAUAGGGAGCCGAAAUACACACCUACGCAUUCACACCAGACAUGAUGUGUACAGCUGUGAUCAGUGUGGUAAACAGUUUACCACAAACACAGAGUUACGAGAUCACAUGUUUACCCACACUGAGGAACGACCUUAUAAAUGUGACCUGUGUGAGAAGACUUUUAAAUCUCCACGUUGCCUGAAAGCACACCAACAGAUCCACACCAGAAAGACUCUACAAGUGCAGUUACUGUGAGAAGCAGAGCGACACAGAUGGAUCAAGUUCUCAACCCUGUCAUCGCUGUGGGAAAGACUUUUGUUGUGACCUUUGUGGAAAA